GGUACAAGCGUGGCGGGUCCCUGCCGGCCAGGCACCAGGUGUCUGGCUCCCGGCUGCGGCUGCUGCAGGUGACAGCGGCCGACUCAGGCGAGUACGUGUGCAGGGUGAGCAGCGGGGCCACCACCAAGGAAGCCAGCGUCAUGGUGACAAUCCAGCCCAGCAGGGCCAGCUCCUACCCCCCAGGUGGCACAACACCGCUGCGCAUUGAGUCCUCAUCCUCCACUGUCACCGAGGGACAGACCCUGGACCUCAACUGCGUCAUCGCCAGCCCUGCACAAGCCACUGUCACCUGGUACAAGCGUGGCGGGU